AUUGAACGCUGGCGGCAGGCCUAACACAUGCAAGUCGAACGAGUGGCGGACGGGUGAGUAAUGUCUGGGAAACUGCCCGAUGGAGGGGGAUAACUACUGGAAACGGUAGCUAAUACCGCAUACCAUCGGAUGUGCCCAGAUGGGAUUAGCUAGUGGGUGGGGUAAAGGCUCACCAAGGCGACGAUCCCUAGCUGGUUUGAGAGGAUGACCAGCCAAACUGUAACUGAGACACGGUCCAGACUCCUACGGGAGGCAGCAUUGGGGAAUAUUGCACAAUGGGCGCAACCCUGAUGCAGCCAUGCCGCGUGUAUGAAGAAGGCCUUCGGGUUGUAAAGUACUUUCAGCGAGGAGGCGUUACCCGCAGAAUAAGCACCGGCUAACUCCGUGCCAGCAGCCGCGGUAAUUC
rnacentral:rRNA from 1 species